UACGGAGGGUGCAAGCGUUGUCCGGAUUUAUUGGGUUUAAAGGGUGCGUAGGCGGCUCUUUAAGUCAGUGGUGAGAUCCUGCAGCUUAACUGUAGAAUUGCCAUUGAUACUGAAGAGCUUGAGUACAGACGAGGUAGGCGGAAUUUAUGGUGUAGCGGUGAAAUGCAUAGAUACCAUAAAGAACUCCUAUUGCGAAGGCAGCUUACUAGGCUGUAACUGACGCUGAGGCACGAAAGCGUGGGGAUCAAACAGG
rnacentral:rRNA from 1 species